rnacentral:rRNA from 1 species
UAGGGAAUCUUCCACAAUGGACGCAAGUCUGAUGGAGCAACGCCGCGUGAGUGAAGAAGGUCUUCGGAUCGUAAAACUCUGUUGUUAUAGAAGAACACGAGUGAGAGUAACUGUUCAUUCGAUGACGGUAUCUAACCAGCAAGUCACGGCUAACUACGUGCCAG